GUGCUCUUCCUAUCUGGAAAAGAAAAAGAGAAAAAUUCAAUAGAUGAACUUGCUAACAGAUUGAAGCAGGACUGAAAUUGCUUUGAUU